rnacentral:rRNA from 1 species
AUUGAACGCUGGCGGCAGGCCUAACACAUGCAAGUCGAACGAGUGGCGGACGGGUGAGUAAUGUCUGGGACACUGCCCGAUGGAGGGGGAUCACUACUGGAAACGGUAGCUAAUACCGCCUACCAUCGGAUAGGCCCAGAUGGGAUUAGCUAGUGGGUGGGGUAAUGGCUCACCUAGGCGGCGAUCCCUAGCUUGUCGGGGAGGAUGACCAGCCACACUGGAACUGAGACACGGUCCAGACUCCUACGGGAGGCAGCAGUGGGGAAUAUUGCACAAUGGGCGCAAGCCUGAUGCAGCCAUGCCGCGUGUAUGAAGAAGGCCUUCGGGUUGUAAAGUACUUUCAGCAAGGAGGCGUUACUCACAGGAGAAGCACCGGCUAACUCCGUGCCAGCCGCCGCGGUAAUAC